rnacentral:rRNA from 1 species
UACGUAGGUGGCAAGCGUUGUCCGGAUUUACUGGGUGUAAAGGGCGUGUAGCCGGGCUGACAAGUCAGAUGUGAAAUUCCGGGGCUCAACCCCGGACCUGCAUUUGAAACUGUUGGUCUUGAGUAUCAGAGAGGCAGGCGGAAUUCCUAGUGUAGCGGUGAAAUGCGUAGAUAUUAGGAGGAACACCAGUGGCGAAGGCGGCCUGCUGGACGACAACUGACGGUGAGGCGCGAAAGCGUGGGGAGCAAACAGG